GCGGCGGUGGUGAAAUUGGUAGACACACCAUCUUGAGGGGGUGGCGCCGCGAGGCAUGGGAGUUCGAGUCUCCCCCGCCGCA
rnacentral:tRNA from 1 species